rnacentral:lncRNA from 1 species
CUGCCUUGUGCCAAUCCCCACUUGGCACCAUUUAUCGGUCAUGACUCGGCCACACUCGAGUCAUUACCGAUAUCACCGAUUAAGGGGGUAACAGACCUCCCCCACCAACGGUGUUCGACGCCCUCGUCGAACCGACACCAUCGGCUUCAGCUUUCCACUUGUCUUGCCACCGUCUUCGAUUGUGCUUGAGCACCAGCACCACAUCGAUUCCCAACUCCCAAGUCUGAUCCCACGAAUUUCCCACAAAAUCUUUCAGCCCUCGGAAAAACGAACGUCGGUCACGUUCAAACGGCAGCACCCAACCACAAGUGAAAAUACUAGUUUUUGGCACAACUAGUAUUUUAUCUCGAUUGCCCAGCCAAUCAAGAAAGGAGAUCACCAACCCACGGAAAUCACCCAAGCACGGCUUCCGUUUCAUCCACAACAGAAACCAGCCCAUCAACAAUCCAACAACAUGCACCCAAAAUUCAGAAAAUACCACAUUUCGAACCCACGAGUUGUG